AAUCAACGCUGGUGGCGUGCCUAACACAUGCAAGUCGAACGAGAAAGUGGAGCAAUCCAUGAGUACAGUGGCGAACGGGUGAGUAACACGUGACUAACCUACCUUCCAGUGGGGGCUAACCUCGGGAAACCGGGGCUAAGACCGCAUAACCUCGUGAGGUGAGAUUCCUUGCGAGCAAAGGGGUAAGACGCUGGAGGAGGGGGUCGCGGCCGAUUAGCUAGUUGGCGGGGUAACGGCCCACCAAGGCGAUGAUCGGUAGCCGGCCUGAGAGGGCGCACGGCCACACUGGAACUGAAACACGGUCCAGACUCCUACGGGAGGCAGCAGUGGGGAAUUUUGCACAAUGGGGGAAACCCUGAUGCAGCAACGCCGCGUGGAGGAUGAAGUCCCUUGGGACGUAAACUCCUUUCGACCGGGACGAUAAUGACGGUACCGGUGGAAGAAGCCCCGGCUAACUCCGUGCCAGCCGCCGCAGUAA
rnacentral:rRNA from 1 species